GGAGGAGUGGCCGAGUGGUUGAUGGCAGUGGUCUUGAAACCACCAGGCGCGAGCCUCGUGGGUUCGAAUCCCACCUCCUCCGCCA
rnacentral:tRNA from 1 species